CAGCAGCCGCGGUAAUACGUAGGGUGCAAGCGUUGUCCGGAAUUACUGGGCGUAAAGAGUUCGUAGGCGGUUUGUCGCGUCGUUUGUGAAAACCAGCAGCUCAACUGCUGGCUUGCAGGCGAUACGGGCAGACUUGAGUACUGCAGGGGAGACUGGAAUUCCUGGUGUAGCGGUGAAAUGCGCAGAUAUCAGGAGGAACACCGGUGGCGGAGGCGGGUCUCUGGGCAGUAACUGACNCUNUUUUNNGAAAGCGUGGGUAGCGAACAGGAUUAGAUACCCUGGUAGUCCACGCCGUAAACGGUGGGCGCUAGGUGUGGGUUCCUUCCACGGAAUCCGUGCCGUAGCUAACGCAUUAAGCGCCCCGCCGGGGGAGU
rnacentral:rRNA from 1 species